UGAGGAAUUUUGCGCAAUGGGGGAAACCCUGACGCAGCAACGCCGCGUGGGCGAUGAAGGCCUUCGGGUCGUAAAGCCCUGUCGGGCGGGAAGAACGCUCUUGGUCGAAGGACUGGGGGGUGACGGUGCCGCCAGAGGAAGCACCGGCUAACUCCGUGCCAGCAGCCGCGGUACUACGGAGGGUGCAAGCGUUAUUCGGAAUUACUGGGCGUAAGGGGCGUGCAGGCGGGAGAGCAAGGCUGAUGUGAAAGCCCGGGGCUUAACCCCGGAAGGGCAUUGGAAACUGC
rnacentral:rRNA from 1 species